CCUACGGGUGGCAGCAGUGAGGACUAUUGGGCAAUGGGCGCAAGCCUGACCCAGCAACGCCGCGUGAAGGAAGAAGGCUUUCGGGUUGUAAACUUCUUUUGUCAGGGACGAAGCAAGUGAUGGUUCCUGACGAAUAAGCCACGGCUAACUACGUGCCAGCAGCCGCGGUAAUACGUCGGUGGCAAGCGUUAUCCGGAUUUAUUGGGUGUAAAGGGCGUGUAGGCGGGAAUGCAAGUCAGAUGUGAAAACUAUGGGAUCAACCCAUAGCCUGCAUUUGAAACUGGAUUUCUUGAGUGCUGGAGAGGCAAUCGGAAUGCCGGGUGUAGCGGGGAAAUGCGUAGAUAUACGGAGGAACACCAGUGGCGAAGGCGGAUUGCUGGACAGUAACUGACGCUGAGGCGCGAAAGCGUGGGGAGCAAACAGGAUUAGAUACCCGGGUAGUC
rnacentral:rRNA from 1 species